AACGAACGCUGGCGGCAUGCCUAACACAUGCAAGUCGAACGAGACCUUCGGGUCUAGUGGCGCACGGGUGCGUAACGCGUGGGAACCUGCCCUUAGGUUCGGAAUAACUCCCCGAAAGGGGUGCUAAUACCGGAUAAUGUCUUCGGACCAAAGAUUUAUCGCCUUUGGUUGGGCCCGCGUUGGAUUAGCUAGUUGGUAGGGUAAAAGCCUACCAAGGCGACGAUCCAUAGCUGGUCUGAGAGGAUGAUCAGCCACACUGGGAAUGAGACACGGCCCAGACUCCUACGGGGAGCAGCAGUGGGGAAUAUUGGACAAGGGGCGAAAGCCUGAUCCAGCAAUGCCGCGUGAGUGAUGAAGGCCUUAGGGUUGUAAAGCUCUUUUACCCGGGAUGAUAAUGACAGUACCGGGAGAAUAAGCUCCGGCUAACUCCGUG
rnacentral:rRNA from 1 species